rnacentral:misc_RNA from 1 species
GAUGAAGAACGCAGCGAAAUGCGAUAAGUAAUGUGAAUUGCAGAAUUCAGUGAAUCAUCGAAUCUUUGAACGCACAUUGCGCCCGCCAGCACUCUGGCGGGCAUGCCUGUUCGAGCGUCAUUUCAACCAUCAAGCCCCCAGGGGCUUGUGCUGGGGCCCUGCGGCUGCCCGCAGGCCCUGAAAACCAGUGGCGGGCUCGCUAGUCACACCGAGCGCAGUAGCACAUCUCGCUCAGGGCGUGCGGCGGGCUCCUGCCGUGAAACCCCCCACUGUAACCCCAAAGGUUGACCUCGGAUCAGGUAGGAAUACCCGCUGAACUUAAGCAUACCAAUAAGCGGAGGA